GUGGGUGUAGCUCAGUGGUUGAGCGCCUGCUUCCCAUGUAUGAGGUCCUGGGUUCAAUCCCCAGUACCUGCU
rnacentral:tRNA from 1 species